rnacentral:rRNA from 1 species
AAAUAUUAGUCAAUGCUCGAAAGAGUGAACUAGCUAACUGAAAUCAAUUAAAAAAUUGAUAACAUAAGGGAAAAUAAUGAUAUUACCUUAUUAUUAGUGUCGUCCAAAACUGGUGCCAGAAGACUCGGUAAGGCCAGAGACACAAACGUUAAUCGUCUUAAUCAGGCGUAAAGGGUUUGUAGGCGGCUUUUAAUUUACUUAUAAAUCUUAAUACAGAUAAAUAAGUUAAGAAUAAAAGCUAGAAUCAAAUAGAGGAUAUAUCAAAUAAUGCUUAGAGUAGGUCUGAUAUCCUUAGAUACUAAGUAGAACAUUAAAGGCGAAAGCUUUUUUCCAUAAUUGAUUGACGCUCAGAAACGAAGGUGAGGAUAGGAAAUAGGAUUAGAUACCCAAAAUACCCCUCUCUGUCAACGAUGAAUGGUAAUUAUUAAUAAUAAUAUUAUUAUUGAUGACAAUGUUAACACGAUAACCAUUCCGCCUUGUGAGUACAACUGCAAAGUUGAAAACAAAAAAAUUAGUCGGUUUCGGAGCAAACGAAGUGAAGCAUGUUAUUUAAUUC